AACGAACGCUGGCGGCAUGCCUAACACAUGCAAGUCGAACGAGACCUUCGGGUCUAGUGGCGCCCGGGUGCGUAACGCGUGGGAACCUGCCCUUAGGUUCGGCAUAACUCCCCGAAAGGGGUGCUAAUACCGGAUAAUGUCUUCGGACCAAAGAUUUAUCGCCUUUGGAUGGGCCCUCGUUGGAUUAGCUAGUUGGUAGGGUAAAAGCCUACCAAGGCGACAAUCCAUAGCUGGUUUGAGAGGAUGAUCAGCCACACUGGGACUGAGACACGGCCCAGACUCCUACGGGAGGCAGCAGUGGGGAAUAGUGGACAAUGGGCGAAAGCCUGAUCCAGCAAUGCCGCGUGAGUGAUGAAGGCCUUAGGGUUGUAAAGCUCUUUUACCCGGGAUGAUAAUGACAGUACCGGGAGAAUAAGCGCCGGCUAACUCCGUG
rnacentral:rRNA from 1 species